AAUUUGUGAAAAGUGUCUAAAUAUUCAUGAAAAAAUGUGUAGUCUUGGGAUCUGGCGACACGAGAACAGAGCGCCGGCCAUUGAAGAUUUAUCCCAUUGAAUAAAUAUAGAAUAACUUAAUAAAGAAAAGAAUUGAGAAAGUAUGAUAUGUAACUUCCAGUGGGGCUUUUCUACUUCUGAGAGUAUGUCCUGUUUAUUU
rnacentral:lncRNA from 1 species